UGAGGGAAUAUUGGGUCAAUGGGGCGGGAGCCUGAACCAGCCAAGUCGCGUGAGGGAGGAAGGUCCUACGGAUUGUAAACCUCUUUAGCCGGGGAGCAACGUGCGCCACGUGUGGCGCAGUGAGAGUACCCGGAGAAUAAGCAUCGGCUAACUCCGUGCCAGCAGCCGCGGUAAUACGGAGGAUGCGAGCGUUAUCCGGAUUUAUUGGGUUUAAAGGAGCGUAGGCCGGAGAUUAAGCGUGUUGUGAAAUGCCGCGGCUCAACCGUGGCACUGCAGCGCGAACUGGUUUUCUUGAGUGCGCGCGACGCAGGCGGAAUUCGUGGUGUAGCGGUGAAAUGCUUAGAUAUCACGAGGAA
rnacentral:rRNA from 1 species